AUUAUACAAGAAGCAGCGAAGACAGGAACCCAUCUACUGAGCCCGGUCCAUAUAAUUUUAUUUAUGGUUUAUUUUUCUGCACCGGUUUGAUUCUUCAUUCUUCUCAGCCUUGUUCGUAUAGUGUUGUGUCUCCAGUUCAUUAUGAUUAUUGGAUGAAAGUCGUAGUCUUUAGUCUUCAAUUUUCAAUUUUCAAAUUUCAAUUUUCCAUUUUCCAAGCCCACCUUAUUAUUUGGGAUCAUAUCAUACCCAAUUGGGUUAUACCCUUCAAUAUAACAUAGUCUGCAUGUUCCAUGGUUUUGGUCGUUUCUUUGGAAGUUGGUUUCAUGAAAAUCAAAUCCAAAACCUCAUGUCAAAAGCUGCAAAAAUGCCACAGCCUCAUGCUCAAAUGGUCGCAUGAGAUCUUUCAGACGACGCGAGAUCGGAGAAGGAGAAGAAGAUCUUCGAGUCGGACGAUCCUACGUUUCGAAACGCGAUUUUGACUACCAUGGCUGAUUUAUCAAAUCUAAAGGAUGCUUUGGGGUCAGUAGUUGAUGUGAUGAAGGCAAUGGCUUUGUCAAUAUACUCUCCUUCAAAGGUGGAAGAAACUAACUGCUUGGUGGCGUAAAUCCUAAAUGGGACCUGAAAAGAAAGGUUUUUGCUUCAACAUUGCAAGGAGUUUUUGUCCUCGUUAGCAACCAUGCAGGCAAAUCAGGUUUGCUUGAAGCUAUCUAAUUCUGAUAAGUUGUAUCAAUGCUUAUUGCUAUUUUGAAUCUAAUAAAUCUGGCAGGUCAAGGAUUGUAGCUUAAGAACACAUACAUUACAACUUUCUCGUGCGCCAACUUCUAGCUGCCUGACAUGUGUGUAGAACUGAUCUUAUUUGACUGCUCACUCUUUAUUUUCCACCGGGUGGACAUAUAACACAGAAGGUAAUAAGAAUGGAAUGGAGUUAAUUGCUAGCUUUUGGUGUUCAUUUGACAUUUUUGAAACCUGUUGUGGUCUUGUAUGUCGUGUGUAGUAUAUCUGUGUCUGAAUAUUACAAUUUACAAAGUAAAAGAGGUGGCUUUCGCUCACUAGUUAAGCUCGCUGUAUACAUCUAUAUGUAAUCAACUAAUCAUUGUUCAUUAGGUAGUUUGCUACUUAGAUCUUCGUAUGAAUCCCUAGUAUAUAUCUUCUUGGACUGUCAAAUUUCUAACUGGUGGGAGAACAUAUGUUUGAAGUUGUCUAUGAUCUUCGUUGUUGUAAACAAGUGAAAUGCAAUCAUGACAGCAUAGCAAAGAUGCAACUGAGAACAAUCCGUUUAAGAAAGCUACCAUGAUCAAAUUU